rnacentral:rRNA from 1 species
UACGAAGGGGGCUAGCGUUGCUCGGAAUCACUGGGCGUAAAGCGCACGUAGGCGGGUCGUUAAGUCGGGGUGAAAUCCUGGAGCUCAACUCCAGAACUGCCUUCGAUACUGGCGAUCUUGAGUCUGGGAGAGGUGAGUGGAACUCCGAGUGUAGAGGUGAAAUUCGUAGAUAUUCGCAAGAACACCAGUGGCGAAGGCGGCUCACUGGCCCGGUACUGACGCUGAGGUGCGAAAGCGUGGG